rnacentral:rRNA from 1 species
CAUGGCGCAGCUGAUCAUGUCAUUCCGCGUGCAGGACGAAGGCCCUCGGGUUGUAAACUGCUUUUGUACGGAACGAAAAGCCUUGGGCUANACCCCGAGGUCAUGACGGUACCGUAAGAAUAAGCACCGGCUAACUACGUGCCAGCAGCCGCGGUAAUACGUAGGGUGCAAGCGUUAAUCGGAAUUACUGGGCGUAAAGCGUGCGCAGGCGGUCUUGUAAGACAGAGGUGAAAUCCCCGGGCUCAACCUGGGAACUGCCUUUGUGACUGCAAGGCUGGAGUGCGGCAGAGGGGGAUGGAAUUCCGCGUGUAGCAGUGAAAUGCGUAGAUAUGCGGAGGAACACCGAUGGCGAAGGCAAUCCCCUGGGCCUGCACUGACGCUCAUGCACGACAGCGUGGGGAGCAAACCGGAUUCGAUACCCUGGUAGUCCACGCCCUAAACGAUGUCAACUGGUUGCUGGGUCUUCACUGAC